UGCCCAGCAACUCCUAUCCCUACCUCCUCGCGGUACUGGUCGGGGUACGAGUAACCUUAGAGAAGAUCGGGUAACCAACCCCCAAUGGGAACUUUGGUCGUAUGCUGACAGGGAAGG
rnacentral:ribozyme from 1 species